UGCUUGCACCUGAUUCCUAGCGGCGGACGGGUGAGUAAUGCUUAGGAAUCUGCCUAUUAGUGGGGGACAACGUUCCGAAAGGGACGCUAAUACCGCAUACAUCCUACGGGAGAAAGCAGGGGAUCUUCGGACCUUGCGCUAAUAGAUGAGCCUAAGUCGGAUUAGCUAGUUGGUGGGGUAAAGGCCUACCAAGGCGACGAUCUGUAGCGGGUCUGAGAGGAUGAUCCGCCACACUGGGACAUGAGACACGGCCCAGACUCCUACGGGAGGCAGCAGUGGGGAAUAUUGGACAAUGGGGGGAACCCUGAUCCAGCCAUGCCGCGUGUGUGAAGAAGGCCUUUUGGUUGUAAAGCACUUUAAGCGAGGAGGAGGCUUACCUGGUUAAUACCUGGGAUAAGUGGACGUUACUCGCAGAAUAAGCACCGGCUAACUCUGUGCCAGCAGCCGCGGUAAUACAGAGGGUGCAAGCGUUAAUCGGAUUUACUGGGCGUAAAGCGCGCGUAGGUGGCUAAUUAAGUCAAAUGUGAAAUCCCCGAGCUUAACUUGGGAAUUGCAUUCGAUACUGGUUAGCUAGAGUAUGGGAGAGGAUGGUAGAAUUCCAGGUGUAGCGGUGAAAUGCGUAGAGAUCUGGAGGAAUACCGAUGGCGAAGGCAGCCAUCUGGCCUAAUACUGACACUGAGGUGCGAAAGCAUGGGGAGCAAACAGGAUUAGAUACCCUGGUAGUCCAUGCCGUAAACGAUGUCUACUAGCCGUUGGGGCCCUUGAGGCUUUAGUGGCGCAGCUAACGCGAUAAGUAGACCGCCUGGGGAGUACGGUCGCAAGACUAAAACUCAAAUGAAUUGACGGGGGCCCGCACAAGCGGUGGAGCAUGUGGUUUAAUUCGAUGCAACGCGAAGAACCUUACCUGGCCUUGACAUACAGAGAACUUUCCAGAGAUGGAUUGGUGCCUUCGGGAACUCUGAUACAGGUGCUGCAUGGCUGUCGUCAGCUCGUGUCGUGAGAUGUUGGGUUAAGUCCCGCAACGAGCGCAACCCUUUUCCUUAUUUGCCAGCACUUCGGGUGGGAACUUUAAGGAUACUGCCAGUGACAAACUGGAGGAAGGCGGGGACGACGUCAAGUCAUCAUGGCCCUUACGGCCAGGGCUACACACGUGCUACAAUGGUCGGUACAAAGGGUUGCUACUGCGCGAGCAGAUGCUAAU
rnacentral:rRNA from 1 species